rnacentral:tRNA from 1 species
GUCCAGCUAGCUCAGUUGGUAGCGCAUGGGAUUAUUGAUCUCAGGAUUGUGGGUUUGAGCCCCAUGCUGGGUG